rnacentral:snRNA from 1 species
UUGUACCGACUCUCUCUCUCU